GACAGCAGCCGCCGCGGUAACACGUAGGUGGCAAGCGUUAUCCGGAAUUAUUGGGCGUAAAGCGCGCGUAGGCGGUUUCUUAAGUCUGAUGUGAAAGCCCACGGCUCAACCGUGGAGGGUCAUUGGAAACUGGGAAACUUGAGUGCAGAAGAGGAAAGUGGAAUUCCAUGUGUAGCGGUGAAAUGCGCAGAGAUAUGGAGGAACACCAGUGGCGAAGGCGACUUUCUGGUCUGUAACUGACGCUGAUGUGCGAAAGCGUGGGGAUCAAACAGGAUUAGAGACCCGAGUAGUCCCUGUCUCUUAUAC
rnacentral:rRNA from 1 species